rnacentral:rRNA from 1 species
UACGAGUGCCUCGAGCGUUAUCCGGAAUCAUUGGGCGUAAAGGAUGUGUAGGUGGCUUCGUUAGUCUCUCGUUAAAUUUUGCGGCUUAACCGUAAAAGUGCGGGGGAAACGGCGGGGCUUGAGGGUGCAAGGGGUCUCUGGAACUCUAGGUGUAGCGGUGAAAUGCGUUGAUAUCUAGGGGAACACCAAAAGCGAAGGCAAGAGACUGGGGCAUUCCUGACACUGAAACAUGAAAGCGUGGGUAGCGAAUGGG